rnacentral:lncRNA from 1 species
AAAGGGAUCGGAUUUACUUACCUCGUUCUCUCCGUCUUCCCUUUCUUCUCCACCUCCAUCGAGCUCAAAGCUCUAUCCACCAUCUCCGACUCGUUUCUCCAUCUUCCCUUCCUCUCUACAUCCUCUCUCCACCAUCUACGACUCCAUCGCCCACCAACCCUUCCUCCCCACAUCAUCUCUCCACCAUCUCCGCCGCGUUUUCUCCAUCUUCCAUUCCUCUCCACAACCUCUCUCCACCAUCUCCGCCUCGAUCUCUCAUCUUUCACCAUCCGUAAUCUCGUCGCUCAUCCUAACAGAGUAUACAAUUGGAUUCAGCCAUCAUCAUCUCCAAUUUCAAAUCCGAGACUCUAAU